rnacentral:rRNA from 1 species
AUGGACACUGAGAAUGGUUUUCUUGCUGCUAAGCUAACUGAUGAUCUAGUGGUGGAGAUCCUCUCCCGGCUGCCGUUCAAGUCUUUUUGCCGCUUCAAAUGUGUCUGCAAGGCCUGGCUUGCCUUCUCCUCUAAUCCAGAUUACUGCAAGGAGCUUUUGAAAAUUCCGAUGGGUCUUCUAUAUCAACACCGUUAUGAUGAAUUUGAUAAUGAUUUCGAUGACUCUGCUAUCAAGCUUGCUAGCCUGCCCCACAAUGACAAGGAAUUUGAUGAAGCUCUUAGUUUCCUACCACAAUAUGAGCAGUUAGAGCUGCUGGACUCUUGCAAUGGCCUGGUCCUUUGUAAGUACAAGAGCAGCUGUACUCCUUUUGGUAUUUGCCGCUUUAUCGUGUGCAAUCCGGCAACACGAGAGUGGAAGGUGCUCCCUGAUACUCCUCCUAGCGAUUAUAAACCUUUUUGCAAUGUGAGUUUUCUGGCUUUUAGCCCAUCAUGGUCGACAAAGUUCUACAUCUUCAACUCUCAGCGGCCGAGCACCCGCUAUUGGGUAUUUGGCCCCGUCAAAUUUGAGGUGUUCUUGUCUGACCUUAACACUUGGUUUCUGUAUGAUACAUCAGUGCUCUUUGAGGCAAAAGUUUCUCGACCACACAUGUUUAUAGAUGGAGCAUUGUAUGUGCACACAGGUUUGCAUGACAUUCUGGUCCUGGAGGAAACUAGUUCUGGCAUUCCGCCGUCUCUUCGGACUAUUAAGUUGCCGCAUGAAGAUGGUGCCUUUAUGGGUAGGUUUGGCCAAUGUUGCUUUGGCCAAUCUUCGGGGGCCUUGCACUAUGCAUUGCCAGAGGAGGAUGCUCGUACGAUUCUUGUUUGGAGUCUUGAUGUUGAUGAGCCUUAUGAGUGGAGCCUCAAGUACCGCCUCAAUAUGAGCCAAGCAUUCGGAAGGGACAACCUUUGUCAGCAUGGUGCACCCCACUGGAAAUCCGACUAUGCUGUCGUCUCUCUUGACCUGGAGAGAGAUGGUCUUUUCCUGAUUGACAAACGGGAGGACAAGAUCCGUUUGUACAAAAUUAGCACCGGUGGACUUACUCACAUUCAACCAGAAGACCACCGCUCCCGCUUUUUGAAUAACAAGUACUAUCAUUAUGUGGCAUCCUACUCAAAGCUCCCAGCUUUAACCAUGUAG